AUUGAACGCUGGCGGCAGGCCUAACACAUGCCAGUCGAGCGGAUGAAGGGAGCUUGCUCCUGGAUUCAGCGGCGGACGGGUGAGUAAUGCCUAGGAAUCUGCCUGGUAGUGGGGGAUAACGUCCGGAAACGGGCGCUAAUACCGCAUACGUCCUGAGGGAGAAAGUGGGGGAUCUUCGGACCUCACGCUAUCAGAUGAGCCUAGGUCGGAUUAGCUAGUUGGUGGGGUAAAGGCCUACCAAGGCGACGAUCCGUAACUGGUCUGAGAGGAUGAUCAGUCACACUGGAACUGAGACACGGUCCAGACUCCUACGGGAGGCAGCAGUGGGGAAUAUUGGACAAUGGGCGAAAGCCUGAUCCAGCCAUGCCGCGUGUGUGAAGAAGGUCUUCGGAUUGUAAAGCACUUUAAGUUGGGAGGAAGGGCAGUAAGUUAAUACCUUGCUGUUUUGACGUUACCUACAGAAUAAGCACCGGCUAACUUCGUG
rnacentral:rRNA from 1 species